rnacentral:misc_RNA from 1 species
GUCUCCGUUGGUGAACCAGCGGAGGGAUCAUCACCGAGUUUACAACUCCCAAACCCCUAUGUGAACGUUACCAAACUGUUGCCUCGGCGGGAAAUUCAUGCCCCGGGCGCGUCGCAGCCCCGGACCAAGGCGCCCGCCGGAGGACCAACCAAAACUCUUUUGUAUGUCCCUCGCGGACUUUUGUAAUUCUGAACCAUCUCGGCGCCCCUAGCGGGCGUUUCGAAAAUGAAUCAAAACUUUCAACAACGGAUCUCUUGGUUCUG